UUAUGUACACACCUACAAUGUUAAUGCAUUGGAUCCCAUUAGAACUCCACAGUUAAGCGUGCUUGGGCUAGAGUAGUAAUGGGAUGGGUGACCUCUCAGAAAGUCCUAGUGUUUUACAUGCC
rnacentral:rRNA from 1 species